CUGCAGCCGGGGCCAGGCUGGGCUGGGAGAUGGAGCAGGAGAGAGGGGGAAAGGGGCACUGACUUCCUCCUCACCUGCCUGCGGCUCCCGGGACAUCUUCCUCUUCCUUGUGGCCUCCUCUUCCUCCAUCGGGCCGAGGGAACUCCAUAACUGGGGUGAUGCUGCUGCCCCUAGGGAGCUGCUGGGCCCCCUCCUGGCUAGGCGAGAUGUAGCCCUGACACCCCAGAAUACCCUCUGCUGUGACCAGGAAGGAUGCAUAUGCAUUUGUAUAUGCAAAUAAAACCGACCCUGUGAAUCCUGGGAGGGUUCUUUGAGAGGAACAGCACCCCAAGAUGGGAAGCUGCACGCAUCGGAGGGGAAGUCGAUGGUGCCCUGGCCCAGGAAGGAGUGGACGCACUCCCUGGCCUGGUUUAAAGACUCGCCAUAAUUUAUUAAGAGUCUGACUGGAAUGGGAUUGGGCCAGCUCAAGUGCCUGAGACAGAAACUCUCAAGGUUUUUCUAUGAGGAUAAAGAGCUGAUGUCUGCUUUGCACUUCAACAACAAACCAGCAUCACUCUGCAUCCUCAGGGUUGACCAGAGAGAGUUUCGAGCUGUUCCUAUAGGAACAAGGACUCAGC